GGGUGUGAGAGGGAGGUGAGAAAGAUGUCUAGGACAGAGAAAGGGAGGUUGCAGUAUUCCACAUUCCAGUGCAAGCACGAGGAGGCGCAGGAGAGGGAGACACUUAAGUCAAACACCUACCACAUUCAUAUCUACUGACACGCCAGCACUGAUUUCAAGGAGAAUAUAUCCAUACCGCAUACAGGAAGAAAAUCAACACCAUGUCAAAAAUUACACGCAAGUGAGGAAACACACCAAAUCUAAAUCACAAGGAAAUCUCAUUCCCAGUAAGUGGCCUAUGAAACAAACUUCAAUAAUCUGCUGAAAGAAGCCUCUUCUCAUAUUUUAUGGGAAUAGAGAGAAAAGAGAGACUUCAAGAUAAUGAGGGAGAGAAGAGUUCUUACAUAUCAAGAAAAAUCUUCAAGACUGAAAUGGCACUUCUCACAGCAUUCAUAUGAACUGCAUAAAG
rnacentral:lncRNA from 10 species